ACAAACAUUAUCUUAUAUUUUUUUUCUUAGCUGUCCAGAAUAGUAUCAUAACUGUAUCAACAUGGUUCAGUAUUUUUGCAGAUCUGGAUCUCCUUUCAAAUCCAGAUGCCACUGGAUAUUCAGUGAACUGCUUAAUAUUUAGACAGUUACCCUAUGGGCAGAUAUUGACAGUAUUGUAUUACAAUGGUCUUUAAAACAGACUCAUUUCAUUUUACUAUUACAAAUGGGUUUAACAUCCUGCUACAGACAAAUACCAUCAUCUGGUGUGAUGGUGAACAUUUAAGUUCCAAGAAGAACAGCAUUAAAAGGAUCCUACUAUGAGUUUUAAGAGAAAAAUUGGUCUCAAACACCUUAGGUUUGGGACAUUUUGGAGCUGUUUGAAAGCCUAUUAAGCUGGUAUGGUUCAAUGCACAUAAGAUUUGGUUUGUGAUGCAUCACAGAGGAUAAAAAGCGGGGGGGAACUAGAUCUAGCUAAUUAUUUUUUAUCCCAUGGCCUUCCAAAAAUAAAAUCCCUGGGGUUAUGAGGCAAAUAGUAAUUCCAGGAAAAUACUCCAGGGCAUACAAAGGAUUCUUUUUAAUUGUUCUAUCUUCAAGGAAACCACGUGCUUAAGAUUGACACCUGAGACAGCAAAGCUGUAUUUGGGACAUAAAAGCGAUGUGACGAUGGUAUCAUUUCCCAACCCUGAGAAAGCCAUGAAUUUUGAUUUUUCAUAGAAUCAUGUAACAGCUUUGGUUGGAAGGGACCUUAAAGAUCAUCUUGUUCCAACCCCCCUGCAGUGGGCAAGGACACCUUUCAUGAGACAAGGCUGCUCAAAGCCCUGUCCAAUCAGACUUCCAGGGAUGGGGCAUCCACAGCUUCUCUGGGCACUUUGAAAGCUUUGGAAGGUCCUGUGACGUUGCAGACAGCAGAACAAUUCCAAAGACUAAAACCUUGCAAAAGCACAAAAGAUUUGGGCUAGGCCAGGAUGUACCCUUCUUUAUUAAUUUGUCCAGUACAAGAUGUUGUAGGUCAAGUUCUGUCCUAACUUGUAAUUAACUUCAGAAAUUUGAAAAGAUGAUGGGCAAAGAGAACACAUUCUUACCUGCUGCCUGCCUGACACACACAACCAGAUUAAUUCUGGCAGUGCUCACUGUUCAGCUACUUGCAGUGGACACCAACUGGGAGAAAACAGAGAAACCUCCCUAACAGCCAUUUCAAUCAGCAGUGAAAUUAGUGUUUACAGUGGUCAGCUACACAUCUGUAGUUGGAAUAGACAUCCACAACAAACCGUGCAAACAGUUUCUUAAUCAACAGCUUAAUUACAGCAGUUACAUCCUCAUUCUCCUAAGUGUAGGAAUUAAUGAACAGUGUUCCACUUUGCUUGCAGUAAUGAGGUUUUAAUCUACUACUAAAUCUUUUCUUUACUACAAGCAAUGUCACCACAGUGUGAAAUUGCUACUGACACCACAGACAUGCUCCUAUGUCAAUGCAAGCAUCAGUUAUAGGGCCAUGGCCCAGUUUACUUGAAACAAGAGUUCUAUAAACAGCCAGUGCAGGAGGAGAUGAAUCAGGCUUGUUUGGCAGGAGUAAGACUUGACAAAAAGUACAUGCAGUAGUGAUGAAUCCAGCCUAUUUCAAGUGUGGGAGAACUUCACCUAAAUUAUCUCCUCCAUCCUAUUCUAACUUAUGUCUGCACUACACAGCACCUAACCAGGACAUGUCUGGCAAUGAACAGUGCUUCUGUAAAUGCUGAACACAGAUGAAAUAGUGUUAGACAGCAGCACUUCAAAAGUUUUGAAGUCUGGGCAGGAUCACUAUCUUGUACAAUUUCCAAAUGGUGAAUGAAGAGCCAGGAAAAGUACAGCAAGCAAAUAUGAUGAAAACAAGAAGCCUUGGCUUACAACUUCUAUAGUAAUUUGCUAUGCAGUCAGAUCUAACCCCAAGAAAAAACUGAGAUACCUGAGAAAUCCUCCUAGCAGUCUCCUGCCUGAUUAUCUCGUAUAGUCUGAAGGAAAAAAAAAAAAAAAAAAAAAAA
rnacentral:lncRNA from 1 species